GACAGGGGGAGCCAAGCGUUGUCCGGAUUGACUGGGCGUAAAGCGCACGCAGGCGGUUGCGCGCGUGGGGUGUGAAAGCUGGUGGCUUAACUGCCAGAUGCCAUCCCCAUACGGCGCGACUCGAGCCCGUGAGAGGUCCACGGAAUUCCGGUGUAGUGGUGAAAUGCGUAGAGAUCGGCAGGAACACCCAGGGGGAAACCAGUGGACUGGCACGGUGCUGACGCUCAGGUGCGAAAAGCGUGGGGGAGCGAACCGG
rnacentral:rRNA from 1 species